UGACUCAUUGGCCUGUAUACUGAUGUAAUGUC
rnacentral:piRNA from 1 species